GAGCGGCGAACGGGUGAGUAACACGUGGGUGAUCUGCCUCGUACUCUGGGAUAAGCCUGGGAAACUGGGUCUAAUACCGGAUAUGACCAUUGGUUGCAUGACUGGUGGUGGAAAGAUUUAUCGGUGCGAGAUGGGCCCGCGGCCUAUCAGCUUGUUGGUGGGGUAAUGGCCUACCAAGGCGACGACGGGUAGCCGACCUGAGAGGGUGACCGGCCACACUGGGACUGAGACACGGCCCAGACUCCUACGGGAGGCAGCAGUGGGGAAUAUUGCACAAUGGGCGGAAGCCUGAUGCAGCGACGCCGCGUGAGGGAUGACGGCCUUCGGGUUGUAAACCUCUUUCGACAGGGACGAAGCGCGAGUGACGGUACCUGUAGAAGAAGCACCGGCCAACUACGUGCCAGCAGCCGCGGUAAUACGUAGGGUGCGAGCGUUGUCCGGAAUUACUGGGCGUAAAGAGCUUGUAGGCGGUUUGUCGCGUCUUCUGUGAAAACUCACAGCUCAACUGUGAGCUUGCAGGGGAUACGGGCAGGCUAGAGUACUUCAGGGGAGACUGGAAUUCCU
rnacentral:rRNA from 1 species